UACGUAGGGCGCGAGCGUUGUCCGGAAUUAUUGGGCGUAAAGAGCUCGUAGGCGGCCUGUCGCGUCGGUUGUGAAAGCCCGGGGCUCAACCCCGGGUCUGCAGUCGAUACGGGCAGGCUAGAGUUCGGUAGGGGAGAUCGGAAUUCCUGGUGUAGCGGUGAAAUGCGUAGAGAUUGGGAAGAACAUCCGUGGCGAAAGCGCUCUGCUGGACUGCAACUGACAUUGAGGGACGAAAGCUAGGGGAGCGAAUGGG
rnacentral:rRNA from 1 species